CCAGGACCCCUAAGGCAGCAGUAUAACCCUCUCCAGGACCCCUAAGGCAGCAGUAUAACCCUCUCCAGGACCCCUAAGGGAGCUGUAUAACCCUCUCCAGGACCCCUAAGGGAGCUGUAUAACCCUCUCCAGGACCCCUAAGGGAGCUGUAUAACCCUCUCCAGGACCCCUAAGGGAGCUGUAUAACCCUCUCCAGGACCCCUAAGGCAGCAACAGUAUAACCCUCUCCAGGACCCCUAAGGCAGCAGCAGUAUAACCCUCUCCAGGACCCCUAAGGGAGCUGUAUAACCCUCUCCAGGACCCCUAAGGGAGCUGUAUAACCCUCUCCAGGACCCCUAAGUGAGCUGUAUAACCCUCUCCAGGACCCCUAAGGCAGCAGUAUAACCCGCUCCAGGGCCCCUAAGGCAGCAGUAUAACCCUCUCCAGGACCCCUAAGGCAGCAGUAUAACCCUCUCCAGGACCCCUAAGGCAGCAGGACUCAUCUGGAACUCAGGCCACAUCAUGAACUUGUCCAUCCCCUCAAUCCUGUUCCGUCUGGGGGGGGGGUUAUGCAAGGCUUGUCCCUGCUCCUCUUCCACGGAGCUUACCUGAACCAAAGCUUCCUGGGUCUGUUCUCUUCUCUCUGACCGUGGUGGACACCCUGCUGAGAUUGUUCUCCCGGGAGACACCUCCCUCUUGGGCUAGCACCUCACCAGGCACCACGUCUGUCUGCUAGUCCAGAUCGCCCGCUGGUCCGACGACCGCCUCCUCUGGCCUGUGGUGGUUCUGACUGGGCUAGACCACUACUGGACCACCAACAACCUGGGUCAUGUUCCCGGUCCGACUGAGACCACUUUUCUCUGGGGUGAAGUUAGAGAUCUAGGAUCAGCUUCCCGGGCUCCCCCAAUCCUGACCGUAGCCAUUAGUGGGCAAAAUGCUAAACUCACCCAGCAUCUCCAUCUAGGGGCAACUUCACCCUACACCAUGAGGACUCCAUGCUGGGAUCUAAAGAUUGUGCUCUUAGUGGUCGUCUCUCUGCUGUGGAUAGUGGCCCUGCUCUAUGUGUUCCUAGUGUCUGGGGGUCAUUCUAGUGUUGGGGAACCAGUCUCCUCACCAGCUGCAUCAGUGCUGGGUGUUCACUAGCGCUCGUACCUCAGUUGGCCAAAGUGCUGCUACUGACUGUGGCCUGUGCAGUGCUGUAUGUUCAUAGCCACACAGGGUCUCCUAUGGGUAUCCACAGGGGUGGAAGGAUGCUCACAUGGAUUCAUCCUGCAUUUUGGAGUCACAGUGGCUGGCGGUGCAGAGUAGAGGUGUUUCGCCAGGUGUUGUGGAUUUUCCUCAGAGUGGG
rnacentral:lncRNA from 1 species